rnacentral:rRNA from 1 species
UGCAGCGACGCCGCGUGAGGGAUGACGGCCUUCGGGUUGUAAACCUCUUUCAGCAGGGACGAAGCGCAAGUGACGGUACCUGUAGAAGAAGGACCGGCCAACUACGUGCCAGCAGCCGCGGUAAUACGUAGGGUCCGAGCGUUGUCCGGAAUUACUGGGCGUAAAGAGCUCGUAGGUGGUUUGUCGCGUUGUUCGUGAAAACUCACAGCUUAACUGUGGGCGUGCGGGCGAUACGGGCAGACUUGAGUACUGCAGGGGAGACUGGAAUUCCUGGUGUAGCGGUGGAAUGCGCAGAUAUCAGGAGGAACACCGGUGGCGAAGGCGGGUCUCUGGGCAGUAACUGACGCUGAGGAGCGAAAGCGUGGGGAGCGAACAGGAUUAGAUACCCUGGUAGUCCACGCCGUAAACGGUGGGUACUAGGUGUGGGUUUCCUUCCUUGGGAUCCGUGCCGUAGCUAACGCAUUAAGUACCCCGCCUGGGGAGUACGGCCGCAAGGCUAAAACUCAAAGAAAUUGACGGGGGCCCGCACAAGCGGCGGAGCAUGUGGAUUAAUUCGAUGCAACGCGAAGAACCUUACCUGGGUUUGACAUGCACAGGACGUGCCUAGAGAUAGGUAUUCCCUUGUGG